AGAGUUUGAUCAUGGCUCAGAAUCAACGCUGGCGGCGCGCCUAACACAUGCAAGUCGAACGAGAAAGUGGAGCAAUCCAUGAGUAAAGUGGCGUACGGGUGAGUAACACGUGGAUAACCUGCCCUCUAGUGGGGAAUACCGUUGGGAAACCGACGACAAUACCGCAUAAGCUCGAGAGAGGAAAGCAGCAAUGCGCUGGAGGAGGGGUCCGCGGCCGAUUAGCUUGUUGGUAGGGUAAUGGCCUACCAAGGCUUUGAUCGGUAGCCGGCCUGAGAGGGCACACGGCCACACUGGCACUGAAACACGGGCCAGACUCCUACGGGAGGCAGCAGUGGGGAAUCUUGCACAAUGGGGGAAACCCUGAUGCAGCGACGCCGCGUGAGCGAUGAAGCCCUUCGGGGUGUAAAGCUCUUUCGGCAGGGAAGAUUAUGACGGUACCUGCAGAAGCAGCUGCGGCUAACUACGUGCCAGCAGCCGCGGUAAUACGUAGGCAGCAAGCGUUGUUCGGAGUUACUGGGCGUAAAGGGUGCGCAGGCGGUCCUGUAAGUAUGGUGUGAAAUCUCCCGGCUUAACUGGGAGGGUGCGCUAUAAACUGCGGGACUAGAGUGUGGGAGAGGAAAGUGGAAUUCCUGGUGUAGCGGUGAAAUGCGUAGAUAUCAGGAGGAACACCGGUGGUGUAAACGGCUUUCUGGACCAUAACUGACGCUGAGGCACGAAAGCGUGGGUAGCAAACAGGAUUAGAUACCCCCGUAGUCC
rnacentral:rRNA from 1 species